GAAUUCGCCCUUAGAGUUUGAUCCUGGCUCAGGACGAACGCUGGCGGCGUGCUUAACACAUGCAAGUCGAACGGAGUUAUGUUUUCGGAUAUAACUUAGUGGCGAACGGGUGAGUAACGCGUGAGGAACCUGCCUUUCAGUGGGGGACAACAGUUGGAAACGACUGCUAAUACCGCAUGAUACUAAUUAACGGCAUCGUUGAUUAGUCAAAGAUUUAUUGCUGAAAGAUGGCCUCGCGUCUGAUUAGCUAGUUGGUGGGGUAACGGCCCACCAAGGCGACGAUCAGUAGCCGGACUGAGAGGUUGACCGGCCACAUUGGGACUGAGAUACGGCCCAGACUCCUACGGGAGGCAGCAGUGGGGAAUAUUGGGCAAUGGGCGAAAGCCUGACCCAGCAACGCCGCGUGAAGGAAGAAGGCCUUCGGGUUGUAAACUUCUUUUACCAGGGACGAAGAAAAUGACGGUACCUGGAGAAAAAGCAACGGCUAACUACGUGCCAGCAGCCGCGGUAAUACGUAGGUUGCAAGCGUUGUCCGGAAUUACUGGGUGUAAAGGGCGUGUAGGCGGAGAUGCAAGUUGGGAGUGAAAUCCAUGGGCUCAACCCAUGAACUGCUUUCAAAACUGCAUCCCUUGAGUAUCGGAGAGGCAAGCGGAAUUCCUAGUGUAGCGGUGAAAUGCGUAGAUAUUAGGAGGAACACCAGUGGCGAAGGCGGCUUUCUGGACUGUUACUGACACUGAGGCACGAAAGUGUGGGGAGCAAACAGGAUUAGAUACCCUGGUAGUCCACACCGUAAACGAUGAGCACUAGGUGUCGGGGCCGCAAGGCUUCGGUGCCGCAGUUAACGCAUUAAGUGCUCCGCCUGGGGAGUACGUACGCAAGUAUGAAACUCAAAGGAAUUGACGGGGACCCGCACAAGCAGCGGAGCAUGUGGUUUAAUUCGAAGCAACGCGAAGAACCUUACCAGGACUUGACAUCCCGAUGACCGAUUCUUAACCGAACCUUCUCUUCGGAGCAUCGGUGACAGGUGGUGCAUGGUUGUCGUCAGCUCGUGUCGUGAGAUGUUGGGUUAAGUCCCGCAACGAGCGCAACCCUUGCCAUUAGUUGCCAUCAUUAAGUUGGGCACUCUAGUGGGACUGCCGGGGAUAACUCGGAGGAAGGUGGGGAUGACGUCAAAUCAUCAUGCCCCUUAUGUUCUGGGCUACACACGUGCUACAAUGGUCGGUACAAAGAGCAGCAAUCUCGUGAGAAGGAGCAAAUCUCAAAAGCCGAUCCCAGUUCGGAUUGUAGGCUGCAACUCGCCUACAUGAAGUUGGAGUUGCUAGUAAUCGCGGAUCAGAAUGCCGCGGUGAAUGCGUUCCCGGGUCUUGUACACACCGCCCGUCA
rnacentral:rRNA from 1 species